CAGUAGCCACGGGAAUACGGAGGGUGCAAGCGUUAAUCGGAAUUACUGGGCGUAAAGCGCACGCAGGCGGUCUGACAAGUCAGAUGUGAAAUCCCCGGGCUUAACCUGGGAACUGCAUUUGAAACUGUCAGGCUGGAGUCUUGUAGAGGGGGGUGGAAUUCCAGGUGUAGCGGUGAAAUGCGUAGAGAUCUGGAGGAAUACCGGUGGCGAAGGCGGCCCCCUGGACAAAGACUGACGCUCAGGUGCGAAAGCGUGGGGAGCAAACAGGAUUAGAUACCCGCGUAGUCCCUGUCUCUUAUAU
rnacentral:rRNA from 1 species